rnacentral:rRNA from 1 species
UAAUACUGAGGGUGCAAGCGUUAAUCGGAAUUACUGGGCGUAAAGCGCGCGUAGGCGGUCUGGUCAGUCAGACGUGAAAGCCCCGGGCUUAACCUGGGAACUGCGUUUGAAACUGCCAGACUAGAGUGUGGUAGAGGGAAGUGGAAUUCCGCGUGGAGCGGUGAAAUGCGUAGAGAUGCGGAGGAACACCAGUGGCGAAGGCGACUUCCUGGACCAACACUGACGCUCAGGUGCGAAAGCGUGGGGAGCAAACAGGAUUAGAUACCCUGGUAGUCCACGCCGUAAACGACGUCUACUAGCCGUUGGGGAGCUUGUCUCCUUAGUGGCGCAGCUAACGCGAUAAGUAGACCGCCUGGGGAGUACGGUCGCAAGACUA